UUCCUGUCCCCCCAGAAUUGGUAGAGGAUUAGCUAAUCUCAUCCCAAUUUAAUAUUUUGAAAAUUUUAAAUUUUAAAUUUUAAAUUUUAAAUUUUAAAAAUUUAUGAUUUAUAAUUUUAAAAUUAAAAUUUUAAAAUUUUAAUUUUUUAAAAUUUAAAAUUUGAUAUUUUAGAUUUUUAAAUUUAAAUUUAAUCUUAAAUUUGACAUUUAGAACUUUGAAUUUUUGAAAUUGAGAUUUUAAAUUUAAAUUUAAAUUUUAAGAUUUUGAAAUUAAAAAUUUAAAUAUAAAAUUUAAAAAUUUAAAUAUAAAAUUUAAAAAUUUAAAUUUAAAUAUAAUAUAAGGUGCAAUAUUAUUAUUUUCUAUUUAUAACUACUUACUAUUUUUCUUAUUCUAUCUUAUCUAUCCAAACAUUAAUUUUCUUGUUUCCGAAAAUAACUCAAUUUUCAUCCAAACAAAAUUGAUUUAUUCCAAACUUAUAUCUGAACAUAUAUCUAUCUCUGAAAUAGACAGUUCUUACAUCCGAACCAAACGAAGCCCCAAGAGAAUAGAAAUUAAUAGUGCCUUAUAAAAAUUACACCGAAAAUUUGAUUAUUAUUAAAUUACCUAACUAAUUUAGUAAUAAAAUAUAAAUUCGAACUUACAGAUAAGCACUAAAGUUCAAAAAAAUUGAUUUAUCCGAAAAGCAUGCGUAGUAUUAACUUAAACCGUAUUUCUGUCCUUCGUGUGGGAUUACUGAAAACACCAUCUUAAGAUACUGAAAUUACUCUCCUACGAGCAUAACCGUAAUAGAAGUUGACGGAAAUUUAUUCAACACUCAAUAAAUAAAGAGAAUAAGAAAAGCAGUGAAAAAUUAAGAAAAAAUGAAAAAAAAAAUU
rnacentral:lncRNA from 1 species